ensembl:lncRNA
AGGAUGGAUGGCAGUCUGGCAUGCUGUAUUAGCAUUCUCAUAUACCAGUUGUUUAACAAUUCCCCAUCAACCACCAGGCUGUUGACUACCUGCAAAAAAAUGGAGUGAACACAGUUCAGGAAUUGAGUCAUGCGAUAAGUCUGUGGGGUAGUGGACCAAGCCACCAGAACUGGCAUCCCUUCCUGCAAACGGUAUUUAAUCUCUGGUUCACCCUGAGAAAGUCAUCUGCAUCCUUAUCGGUCAUGAAAAAAGGAGUUUGGACAAGAAAGGACUGUCGCCAUAAAGGACUUCUGUGAGGGGAGGCCUUCAUCAUACUAAGUAAGUCUCCCAGAGAAGGCCCCUCGGCACUCCUGGAACUCACUCAGAGGUAAAACAGAUUCCCCC